UGAACGCUGGCGGCAGGCCUAACACAUGCAAGUCGAGCGGAUGAAGGGAGCUUGCUCCUGGAUUCAGCGGCGGACGGGUGAGUAAUGCCUAGGAAUCUGCCUGGUAGUGGGGGAUAACGUCCGGAAACGGGCGCUAAUACCGCAUACGUCCUGAGGGAGAAAGUGGGGGAUCUUCGGACCUCACGCUAUCAGAUGAGCCUAGGUCGGAUUAGCUAGUUGGUGGGGUAAAGGCCUACCAAGGCGACGAUCCGUAACUGGUCUGAGAGGAUGAUCAGUCACACUGGAACUGAGACACGGUCCAGACUCCUACGGGAGGCAGCAGUGGGGAACAUUGGACAAUGGGCGAAAGCCUGAUCCAGCCAUGCCGCGUGUGUGAAGAAGGUCUUCGGAUUGUAAAGCACUUUAAGUUGGGAGGAAGGGCAGUAAGUUAAUACCUUGCUGCUUUGACGUUACCAACAGAAUAAGCACCGGCUAACUUCGUG
rnacentral:rRNA from 1 species